ACCACUCAGCAGAUUCCAUCAUGGGGGUGAUCACAUAUCAGAUUUCAACAGGGAAGUGAUCACAACAUUAUACAAAUGCCAUAUCAUGGGAAUCAUGGCCCAGCCAAGUUGACAAACAAUCUUAACCAUCACACAUACAAAGUAAUGUUCUCCGUCUGCUGUAGAAUUGAUCUUUCAAAAAAACCAAACCCAUUGCUGUCAAGCUGAUUCUGACUCAUAGCAACCGUGUAGGACAGAGCAGAACUGCCCCGUAUGGUUUCCUAGGCUGUAAGUCUUCGAGGAAGUGGACUGCCACAUCUUUCUUCCAAGGAGCAGUUGGUGGGUUCCAACUACUGACUUUUCAGUUAGCUGAGGGCUUAACUGCUGCACUGCCAGGGCUCUUCUGGAAUUAAACUAGAAAUCAAUAAUUGACAGAUAGCAAGAAAAUCCCCAGAAUAAGGAAGCAGUUAUUUACAGUAAGUGCAACAAGCCUACAACCUUUAUAGGAAUUUCAAAGUUUUAACAAACAUGUUUAUGUGCCAUGAACUAUGCUAAACACUUUACAUAUAUUCACUUAGUCUCCCUAACAAUCUUAUGUGGUACAGACUGUUAGUAUUCCAUUUUACAAAUAAGGAAAUUGAGGCAUAAGGAGGUUAAGAAACUUGCCCAAGGUCACACAUCCAGUAAGUCGCAGAGCCAAAGUAGAAUCCAGGGACUGUAACAAUGUGCAGUGUGCCAUGUGAUCUUUAACAUUGUUUCUGCCUUUCACUUUAGCACAGACUUGCUCCUUAUCGCUGAUGGUCAAGGUAAUUGGGCUGCCAAGUAAGCAGAGCUCCAACUGAGGCAAAUCUAUUCAUGGGUUUGUUUCUCUGGGGCAGAAAGUAGAGGAUCUAGGCCCAGACAAGUCCCGCAUCCCCCAUAUGGGUUUACCACCUUCUGCUGGAAAAGGCAUUACCGGCGCCCUUGACCUUAAAGCCCUUGCACGCCUUCAUCAGAUGGGUGCGGUUCUAAAAUGACCAGCAGGGGGCGCCAGUUCGCCUCCUUUGGGUUCACUUCUGCAAACAGGGCUGUGACAGCUGCAGUCUGGGGAGCUGUCAGCUCGGUUCAGCAGCGUUGUCUGCUUCCUUCCUCUUUAUCAGAUCUGUCAGGGCUGUUGCGUGUUGUCUUCACCUCCGGCCUCCUUCCCUCCUUCCUGUGUCGAACGGACGUUCUCUGACGCAGCCCCUAAUCUACACCUCCGCGCCUCCUGCCUGGGCAGAAGCAGGGCCAGGUCCCCCUUUCCCGCCCCCACUCGUACCCUUUUGGCGGGCGGGAUCCUGCUUUGAGGUCAGGUCGCCCCAGGGCUUUGGCUUCACUUCCAUCCGACGAUGCAGAGCCCAGCAUGCGCUGGGCUCUUGCAGGUCUUUAGCACUUCUGCAAACCCUGGCGUUGAAAAAGGCAGCUGGAGGAAGCGCUUCGGAAGCAAAACUAACAGGAGAUGGAUGUACCUCAAUUUCUGCAAGUGUACCCUCUCUCUGAUUUCCUCAGCCAAAUUAUAAGAUGAGAAGACAAAGGCCUGGAAAUUACUGUCCAAAUCAACGCUGGCUGCCUCUGGGAGGGGUAUACAGUUAGGGGGUGGGUGGCCAAGGAACUCUUAGCUUUAUUUGCAAUAUUUUAACUUUUUAUAACUGUGAUGUACUCAUGUUUUACUUUUGUAUUGAAAUAAAUUUUAAUGUAUAUGUAUGUAAAUAAAGUACAAUUAAUAGUAGUCUCCAUUUACUGAACUCUUACUCAGUAACAUGCUGUGAGGACUAUGAUUAUGCCCAUUUUACAGAUGAGGAAACUGAGGCACAGAGAGGGGAAGUGACUGGCUCAGGGUCAUGCAGCCAGUGAAAGCUAAAACAGAGUCUGAACUCAGGUAUGGUUGACUUCACUGGGGGUUGUUGUUGUUAUUGCUGUCAAGUGAGUUCUGACUCAUGGCAGCCUUGCGUAUAACAGAACGAAACCUUGCCUGGCCUUGUGCCAUCUUGUUUGAGUCCAUUGUUGUACUAUUGUGUCAAUCCAUCUCAUUGAGAGUUUCCCUCUUUUUCGCUGAUCCCUGCUUUACCAAACGUGACUUCCUUUUCCAGCGAUUGGCCUUUCCUGAUGGCGUGUCAAAACAAAGCAAGCCAAAAUCUCACCACCUUCUCUUCAAAGGAGCAUUCUGGUUGUAAGUUUUCUAAGAUAGCUUUGGUAAUUCUUCUGGAAUUCCAUGGUAUAUUCAAUAUUCUUCGCCAACACCAUAAUGCAAAGGCAUCAAUUCUUCUUCAGCCUUCCUGACUCAUAGUCCAACUUUCGCAUGCAUAUGAGGUGAUUGAAAAGACCCUGGCUUGGGUCAGGCUCACCUUAGUCAUCAAACUGACACCUUUCUUUUUAAAACCUUAAAGAGGUCUUUUGCAGCAGAUUUCUCCAAUGCAGCUGAGGAUUACUAGUCCCCAAAUGGACAUUGGCAACAGCGGAUCCUGGGCAAGGCAGGAGAAGGCAGUCAGAGCAGCCUUGUGACACAAGGGGAGAGAUAGCCCACAGCGUGGUUACCAGGAAGUGAUGACAUCAUGUUGAGGAACAAAGGGUUUGGAGUCAGAAAGACCCUAGCAGUGCCACUUCUGGCUGUCUGACCUUGGGCAAGCUUCUUUGCCUCUCUGGGCCUCGGUUUCCUCAUUUGCAAAAAGGAGGGAGAAACCACCUACCUUACAGGCUUGUGUGGAUUGAGCAUGUAAUAGACAUAAGAACACCUGGUAAACUGUGAAGUGCUGUUUAUUUGUACCUGAAACUAGCGUUUAUUAUGCACCCCUUCACGAGGGGCUGGGGAUAGAGCAGCAAACACAACAGACAGGAUCCCGGUCCCCUGGAUGUUGCUUUUGAGUGGCUGAAGCCAGUCAACCAGCAAACCAGUAAGAUACUUCAGAGCGUGGUGAGUGCAACGAAGGCCAUGACACAGGACGAUGGGAUGGUGCCAGCCUUGGAGGCUGCGGGGCUUGAGCCAGGGUGACCAGCACAGGCCUCUAGAGGAGGUGACCUCUGAACAGAGGCCAAAUGGUGGGAGAUCAGUGGAAGCUUGUGUGUUGCUAUGUUGCUGAACAGGUUUCAGCAGAGCUUUCAACUAAAGUGGACUAGAAAGAAAGGCCUGGUGAUCUACUUCUGAAAAUCAGCCAGUGUAAACCCCUUGGACCACAAUGGUCCAAUCCGCAGCCAGUCACGGGAUGGCACAGCACUGGGUGGUUCUCUUAUGCAUGGAGCUGCCACGAGUCACAAGUCGACUUGACAGCAGCUGACAACAACAACACAUCACGUUAAAUGCAUUUCCUUGUUUGUCCCACCUGACUCGUUUUGGGUUAGGAGCUUGAUGGGCACGACUCUACAUAUCUAGUACUAGCACCAAGCUCUAGAGAAGUUCACUAUUGUUGUUACGUGCCAUCAAGUCGUCUCCAACUCAUAGAGACCCUGUGCACAACAGAACAAACCUCUGCCCAGCCCUGUGCAAUCCUCACAGCCGAUGCUGUUUGAGCCCAUUUUUGUAGUCACUGUGUCAAUCUAUCUCUUUGAGGGUUUUCCUCUCUUUUGCUGACCCUCUACUGUACCAAGUAUGAUGUCCUUCUCCAGGGACUGAUCCCUCCUGAUAACAGGUCCAAAGUACUUGAGAUAAAGUCUUGCCAUCCUAGCUUCUAAGGAGCAUUCUGGAUGCGCUUGUUCCAAGACAGAUUUAUUUGUCUUCUGGCAGUCCACGGGAUAUUCAAUACUCUUCACCAACACCAUGAUUCAAAGGCGUCAAUUCUUCUGUCACUCAGACGUUCACUGAGGCACCUGCAACGUGCCAGACCUCCUAAGGGCUUUGUGUGCAUUGCCUAGAUUAAUUUUCCCAACAACCCUGAGAAGUAGAUACUAUGAUUCCCAUUUGCCAUCUGGAGGAUCUGAGGUUCAGAGGUGGAGGGGGUGCCCAGUGCCAUCUGCUGUGAGUGGCAGAGCUGGGACUUGAACUUAGCUUCUCUGGCUGAGUGAAGGUCAUGCUUAUUAACCACAGGAGCACAGAGCCUCGCUCAGCACAUCCAGGCGGUGGGAUGGGAUUGCAUGAGACGUCCUCACUGGGAACACUUUCAGUUCAGCUUCUGGAAGCCUGUCCAAGCCCCUCCGUCAGCCCCUUGCAGAUGAGGAGGCUGUUCCCAUGGCCGCUUCUCCAUUCUGGAAUGACCACAAAGCAGGCGGGGAUAGCAGGUCUGACCACAAAUAGACAGAUGUUUCCACAUGUGGAAGUUGAGUUUGAGUUUUGGUGCAGUUUUCGUGGUUCCCUUUUCACUCUUUUGGGUCAUGGUCAAGUAGCUCUGAUGUGUCUCCAUCUCUACUGCUCACUGUGUUUACCAGCACCGCCACCAGUUGCCAUGGAGUUGACUCCGACUCAUGCCGACCCCGUGUGUAUCAAGAGUAAAGUUGUGUCCCAUUGGAUUUUUAAUGGCUGAUUUUUUGGAAGUAGGUGGCCAGGCUCCUCUUCUGAAGUGCCUCUAAAAAAAAAAAAAAAAAAAAGGUGGACUCAAGUCUCCAACCUUUUGAUUAGCAGCUGAGAGCAUUAACAGUUUGCACUAUCCAGAGACUCCAUCACAAUCUUUAGACUGUUCUUAAUCACUCCUCCCACCCCUUUUUAGCAGAGUACUGUAUGGUCUGCAUCACGCUUUUACAUGUACUAGCUCAGUGAAUCUUCCCAGCAACCCUGGGACGUGGGCCCAUUUAAUAGACUGAAGCUCAGAGAAGCUAAUUGACAGCAACAAUAAUUAGCUGCUUUUUACUGAGCUCUUAGCAUGUGUCAAACAUGACACUAAACCAUUUUGCACAUUGUAUCUCAUUUAAUCUUCAUAACCACCCUGUGAGGUAGAUAUUAUCCCUCUUUGGACAAAACUGCCCCAUAGGGUUUCCAAGGAGUUCCUGGUGAAUUUGAACCGCCAGCCUUUUGGUUAGCAGCCCUCGCUCUUAACCACUGCACCACUGGAGUUUCCAUCCCUAUUUUAGAGGUAGAGAACUUAAGCUCAGAGAGCACAAUGGACUUGUCCAAGGUCACAGAGUGACAAAUCCAGACCUAGAACCCAGGUCUCUUGACUCCUGGUCCAGUGCUCUAACCAACUCUUAGAACACCUGCAAAACAUCUGUACUAUAGUUCAACGCAGCUCUGAUACCAUUGGCUAUAAGACACAUCACUCUUGUAUGUACCACUAGCGAAGAAAAAAUGCUGUCAAUUAAACUAAGACACAAUACUUUCUUAUCAUUUAGAAUUUUAAUUUUGUACUUAUUCAAAGAGCACUUUUAAACUUAAUUAAAUGCAGAUUUUAAUAUUCAUCACUCUGUGCAUACACAAAAGAAUGGUUAAGACUUUUCCACAUUCAAAAAUCUGACUGACUCAGAAUGGCCAAUGUCCAUGUUUUUCCUCACAAUAUUGUCCUUUGCGCCAGCAAGUGUUGGUGACAUAGAUUUCUCUCUUUCUCUUUUUAAAAACAUUUUAUUGAAGUAUAACUUACAUGAAAUAAAGUGUACAAGUCAUAAAUAUACUUAGUGAGUUUUUUACCCAUGUAACCCAACCCAACCCAUUGCCCUCAAGUCAAUUCCAACUCAUAGCGACACU